AAUGAACGCUGGCGGUAUGCCUAACACAUGCAAGUCGAACGGCAGCACAGUAACAUCUUGCUCUUCCGGGUUGCGAGUGGCGGACGGAUCACGUAUACAUCCUGAUCUACUUUUUCGUGGGGGCUUACGUAACUAAAUCUACUCUAAUACCGCAUACGACCUUCGGUUGAGUGCAGGGGAUCUUCUCACCUUGCGCUAUUGUCUGAGCCUAUGGUGGAUUAGCUAGUUGGCGGGGUAAAGGCCCACCCAGGGGACGAGCCGUAGCUGGUCUGAGAGGAUGAUCAGCCACAAGGGAAGUGAGAGACGGUCAAGAAUCCUACGGGAGGCAGCAGUGGGGAAUAGUGGAGAAGGGGCGCAAGCCUGAUACAGCCAGACCGCGUGAGUGAAGAAGGCCUUGGGGUUGUAAAGCCCUUUUGUUGGGAAAGAAAAGCAGCAGGUGAAUAACGCGCUGUUCUGACGGUACCCAAAGAAUAAGCACCGGCUAACUUCGUG
rnacentral:rRNA from 1 species